UUCUCUUCAUCGCCGAACCCGUGCCUCUUGAUCGUCGUCCCUUCUUCUCCCCUCUUCUCUUCUUCUCCACUUCGCCUCCUCCAACCGACACCGCGCGAUGCCUCAUCUCCUCACUGAUAAACCCAUCGACCAAGGGAAGACAUGAAGCCCUAGCGUCAUCUUUCCCUCCCCUGCCGUCGCCUCCUCAUCGCGGAGAUCUUGAUUGCACUGAUCACCACGAGAUCACCGCCUGCAGUAGUCUUCCCCUUCCGUGUGCCUCACCAACGUCAAACUCUCUUGGCUACCAGGCGGCCCGAUUUUCUUCUUCUUUCCCCUCUCGCACCUCUGCUCUUGACACAGUCUGCACCAUCGCAUCCGACCACCAGAUUGUGCUACUCUAGGUAGUCUGCGCCCUAGCUUCGAUUCCUCGCCCGUCGCCACCUCAUCGUGCCAGCGCCACCCGAUCACCUCUCGCUAGAAGUCGAGCACCCAAAUCCUUCACUCUGUCGCGCCCUAGCUCCGGCUGUUGCAGCCACCAGCAACCACUGCUAAUUUGGUGACUGUUGGGAGACAUCGGCCACAGGUCUCUGGCAGCAACCUUCUCUGGUAGCAAGGAUCAACAAGAGUGGUUUGGUGAAUUGAGCAGCUUUUCUAAACUUCGGCAGUGGGUUCUUCAGGAUUGAUCAGCAGCAGCUGAGGCAUCAGUUUCGGAACUUUGAUUCAGGACGAGCACUUUGACAUAGCGAUUGUUUAGCUCGAUCUACAUUGAAGGCGG